rnacentral:lncRNA from 1 species
GGAGGGUCCUGCCCACGGGCCCCGCCCUGCACUAGGCGGAAGCCCCCAAAGUAUCAGCGCCGCUUCGUGGAGCCUGGCGACUGCUUUGGGAAGUCCUGCUGGCAGGCACUCUGCCCCUGGGGGUGUGCAAAGAGUUGUCCAGUUACCUUGAUCUUCUCACAGCCUCCUCCCCAGGGCACCAGGAGAGACCAGGAUUGGAGGACGGUAAAGAACACACUUCCCAGAGGAUUCUUGGAGUGUCUGAAACAAACAGAAGUUUGUUUCUCGUCCAUGUAACCAAGGCAAAUGCUCCUGGUUGGCAGGUGGCUUCCUCCAGGCAGUAAAUCUACAGCCCAGGCUCCCUGCAUCUUAUGGCUCCAAUCACUUUGGAUCUCAUCGUCGCCUGCACAUUGCCAUACACAGGGAAGGAGAAGAGAUGGAGAAGGCAAAGACUUUCUGAAAGCCGUGGCUAAAAGCUGGCAUGUGUCACAUCAGCUCACAUUCCAUUGUAGAGACGGGGUUUCACCGUGUUAGCCAGGAUGGUCUUGAUAUCCUGACCUCGUGAUCCGCCCGCCUUGGCUUCCCAAAGUGCUGGGAUUACAGGCGUGAGCCACCGCUCCCGGCCUGGCAGGCAUUCUUGAGGCAAACGGGAAAUGGGGUAAGUUACACAAUCGAUACAGCUCCGUCAUCGUGGUUUAAUUACUUUUCCACGUACCAUGUUUCCUGACAGGUAGAACGAUCAGCCUGGGCCUCCGUUUUUCAUUCUACAAAGAAUGAAGUGCAUGAACUGUCCUCUAUAGAAUUGUGGAAAAAGUUGUUUUUAUUGAGUUGUGGUUAUCUUUGUCUUCAUGGUCUAAUUACGGAAAUAAAUGCUUUUCCGAGUCUCCGGGGAUGGUCUGCCCUAGUCCAGCUCUCUGCAGUGUCUUUCUGGGUUUUUCCUCAGUGAACGGGAGGAACAUUGGCAGCACUUGUGGUCUGCACCAAGAACUGAAUCGAAUUUCCAUGUGUUAUUGAAUGUUCACAAAGACCUUGUACAGCGAGUGUUACUACCUCUGGUCAAUGAUUCAACUCAAGGCUCAGAAAAGUCAAGUGUCUUGUCCAGGGACACUUAGUCAGAAGUGAAUCCAAGGUUUAAGCUCAAGUCUGCCUAACUCUGAAUUUCACAGCCUUUUGCUACAUAUGGCGAAUAAUAUAUCCCUGAGCACUAAAGGCAGACUCCAAGGAUCUUGUCUCUGCAAUCAUCAUUCUGGCCAUAAUUUAUGAAAAGCAACCCAAAGUAUGUGAUGUAAUAAAAAGUACUAUCUAUGAGUUUACCCUUCCAAAAAUUGAACUGAAUUCUGAGCUCUAAAUUUGGAAUCAAAAGAACUUUUCUCUGCACUAAUCAUUUGGAACAUCACUUAAAGAAAACAACGAAAAACUGGUGUCCCCUGAGAGAAAGCAAUACAAAACAUUAUGCAUAAAGAAAUCCUUCCAAAAAAUAAACCAAAUCCAGUCAAAUCUCUAGUUUUGACUCCUAGCUUACCGGAAAUACGUGAUGGGAAAAAAAUGAAAUGACACCACUAUGAUUCAAUCAGCCAAAUCCAGCAUAUGCAAAUUUCUACCAGAUAAAUGGUUUAGUUUCUUCCCCAAACAAAUGGCACAAGGAAACGGAGGUAAGAAUGGGAUGCUGUUAUAGAUUUUAAAAGAUUUAAGAAAGUAUAAACUAAAUACACUAUGUGCAUCCUCUCUGAACGUGCUUCAAACAUAUCAAGGGGUCAAUGAGCAGUUUUGAAACAAUAAGGGAAUUUGAACACUGAAUGGUUGUCAGAAGAUAGUAAGAGAUCAUUAUUAAUUUUACUAGACAUAAUGAUGUUCUGAUUUUGUUUUUUUUUUAAAAAAAAAACAGUGUUAUUUCCUUUAUAGAUACAUCAUAUAGUAUUAACUAAUGAAAUGCUUUGAUAUCUGGAACGUUUAAAAAAUAUUCCCGAUGGAGUAAGUGCAAAGAAACAGGUAAGCAAAAUGCUGAUAAUUGCUGAAACACAGGAUGUGUACCUGGGGCUUCAUUUACUAUCUCUUCAUUUUCUAUUUUGAUAUUUGUUGGACAUUCUCAUAAAAAGGAAAGUUAUGUUUUAUUUUCUCAUAAGCUAGUAAUGAAAUAGCCCUACGUAACUGAUAUUGUAGAGACAAGAAUAGGUGUAAUAGAGCUUAAGGUUUUCAUUUAAAAAACUAUCUGUAGACUUCAAUGGAUCUUAGGUGGCAUCCAUGCAAUAACACUCGUGGAACAUGCAGGACAGGUGUGGAGCUCCAUCUUCACACAGUGACAUUUUUUAUGCUUCUGUUUUCCCUAAGAGUGGAGUGAGAGGAUGAUUAUUUUAUAUCAUGGACUUCUUCCCUGCUAUACUUUUUUUAAUUAUUUUACUUUCACUUCUGGGAUACAUGUGCUGAGCAUGCAGGCUUGUUUACAUAGGUAUACAUCUGCCAUGGUGGUUUGCUGCACCUAUCAACCCAUCAUACAGGUUUUAAGCCCUGCAUGCAUUAGGUAUUCGCCCUAAUGCUCUCCCUCGCCUUUCCCCCCACCCCCUGAUAGCCCCCAGUGAGUCAUAUUCCCCUCCCUGUGUCCAUGUGUUCUCAUUGUUCAACUCCCAUUUAUGAGUGAGAAUAUGUGGUGUUUAGUUUUCUGUUCCUGUGUUAGUUUGCUGAGAAUGAUGUUUUCCAGCUUCAUCCAUGUCCCUGAAAAGGACAUGAGCUCAUUCUUUUUUAUGGCUGCAUAGUAUUCCACGGUGUUAUAUGUGCCACAUUUUCUUAAUCCAGUCUGUCAUUGAUGGACAUUUGGGUUGUUUCCAAGUCUUUGCUAUUGUAAAUAGUGCUGCAAUAAACAUAUGUGUGCAUGUGUCUUUGUAGUAGAAUGAUUUAUAAUCCUUUGGGUAUAUGCCCAGUAAUGGGACUGAUGGGUCAAAUGGUAUUUCUGGUUCUAGAUCCUUGAGGAAUUGCCACACUGUCUUCCACAAUGGUUGAACUAAUUUAUACUCCCACCAACAGGGUAAAAGCAUUCCUAUUUCUCCACAUCCUCUCCAGCAUCUGUUGUUUCCAAAUGUUUUAAUGAUUGCCAUUCCACCUGGCGUGAGAUGGUAUCUCAUUGUGGUUUUGAUUUUCAUUUCUCUAAUGACCAGUGAUGAUAAGCUUUUUUUCAUAUGUUUGUUGGCCACAUAAAUGUCUUCUUUUGACUUUUAUGUGGAAACAAAUUUAACUGCACAGAGAGGUGAAAAUUAAUUAAUAACUUUUAAAGUAAUUCCCUAAGUUUCUAAGGAUCUAUAUGUUUCCAUCUGACUUUAUUUUAUUUAAGCUCUUGAUUGAUGCUGCAUUUGGAGCAGGUUCAUGAACAUGAAUAGAGUUAAUCUGGGACAGAUUUCCCUCAUUUGAUUUUUUCACUGUUUCCAUCACAGAACUUAUUUCAUGCUCACCAUGUUUGCAGGCAUUGAGCUUGGUACUGGAGCCACAGAGCUGGAUCAGACAGACUUGUGCAAAUAUUUCAGGUUUUUUUUGUGGGGGGGUCAUAUUUAUAGAUAAAUAACAGUAAAGAGUGACGGGUUCUUAUGAAAAUGCAUACACAGUGAAGUAGAGGGUGAAAAGGAGGGAUGUGUUCUAUGAGGAGGAAGAGUGAUAAGAAAGUGUAAGGGGAUGUGUCUGUGUCUAGACAUAUGUGUGUUCACGUGUGUGCGUGCUUGUGUGUACUGCAUGUGUAUAUGUGUGGCCAUGCACCUGUGUGCAUGUUCAUGUGUGUGUGUGUAUGUGUCUGUGUUGAGGACUAAAUUAAUUGGGCUUAUGGAAGCAGGGAGCCACUGAUAGGUUUAAUUAGAGACUGACAUGAUAUGAUAGUUUAGGUGGAUUUCUCUGGGGGCUGUGUUGAGGGACAGUGGGGAGGAGAGCUAGAAGGAAGAAAAGGACACAUGCAUAACAGAAGCAAUAUCUGUCUAUGGGAUGGUGGAAAGAAUCAGAAAAGACUUAAUAAAACAUGUGACACUUUAACUGAAUCUUGAAAUAGACAAGUGUUGGAGGAGGGAGUUGGACCAGAUACUUCAUGCAAAGGGAAGAAAAGUGCACAAACAAAAUAUGAGAAACAAGGCAGACAGGCAUUUUUUUAAAAUUUUCGCACCCACUGAUAGACCAGUGAUGCAUUCACAUCGUCUGCAUUCAUGAUCAACAAAAGUGCUUUCCUAGAACAUGAACCUCAACCCAAGUGUCGCCUCAAGUAGUGUAUGCAUGAACUCAAGCAUUAAAUUAGAAUUGAUUUUUUAAAAAACUCACACAAACAGAUGUAUUAUUUAAAAAUCUUUAAAGCAGGUUUAAACAGUUUUCAGGAUUAAAAGCAGCCACUAUUAGAAAGAACAAAAAUACAUUUGACAUAAAUAUAAGGAGCCUCAAUAGAACCUCCUGUACCCAGUCAUUGUCAAUGCCACAUCCAUUCAUUCACCAGCCCUUAUAUCAAUGCUUGCUGGGCUCACUUACCACGAUCAGCACGUGCAUGUCCUUAUCUGAAAGCUUGCCACUCAAAUGUGCUCAGUCUUACCUGUGUGGCUGGGAGUGUUGGGGAUUUAAUGUCAAGGGAAAGAAUCUUCCAUCAAUGAAUGAUGAAAGUUAGUUUUCACAACUUCCGGUCCCCUUGGCCCUCAUCAAAGGGCUCCAGGUGAGGUUUGGGCUCCUUGCUAUCCUCCGAGUUUCCACGGUAGUUUUAAGCACCAUUGCCCGUGGUAAUGGCUGACAUUGAUACUGCACUUUUUUUUUAUUUAAGAUGGAGUUCCCCUCUGCCACCCAGACUGGAGUACAGUGGCGCGAUCCUGGCCAUCGCAACCUCCGCCUCCCAGGUUCAAGCGAUUCUCCUGCCUCAGUCUCUCAAGUAGCUGGGAUAUGGGCACCUGUCACCAUGCCCAGCUAAUUUUUUUAAAAUUUAUUUUUAGUAGAGAUGGGGUUUCACCAUGUUGGCCAGGCUGGUCUCGAACUCCUGACCUCAGGUGAUCCACCCACACUUUUUAUUGUUUGCCUACACUUUCUAGACUUGCUUCAUCAGCCUACUCCGUUUCUGGUUGAUAUGGUUUGGUUGUGUCCCCACUCAAAUCUUAUCUAGAAGUGUAAUCCCCAAGUCUCAAGGGAGGGACCUGGUGUGAGGUGAUUGGAUUGGGGGGUGGUUCCCGCCAUGCUGUUCUCAUGAUAGUGAGUGAGUUCUCAUGAGAUCUGAUGGUUUUAUAAGGCAGUUUUCCCUAUUCUUGCUCACUCUUCUCUCUCUUUCUGCCAUGUGAAGAAGGUCCUUGCUUCCCCUUCACCUUCUACCAUGAUUGUAAGUUUCCUGAGGCCUCCCCUCAGCCAUGCACAACUGUGAGUCAAUUAAACCUCUUUCCUUUAUAAAUUACUCAGUCUCAGGUCGUAUCUUUAUAGCAGUAUGAGAAUGGACUAAUACACUGGUCUAUCCUUCAUCCAAAUUAACUACCUGCACUGCAGUCCUUGUCUCAGGCUCUGCUUUGAGGGACCCCAACUGUGACAGCCGCAUUAGAAUGCAUCACAUACUGCAGUGAAAUUCUAGAGUGGGUGUUGUCAGGUGGUGAUGAUUGUUAGAUAUGUCAGUCUGUUUUCAGGCUGCUGAUAAAGACAUACCUGAGACUGGGUAAUUUAUAAAGGAAAAGGAGGUUUAAUGGACUCACAGUUCCACAUGGCUAGGGAGGCCUCACAAUCAUGGCAGAAGGUGAAAGGCACGGCUUACAGGGUGGCAGCAAGAGAGGAAAUGAGAACCAAGUGAAAAGGUUUCUGCUUAUAAAACCAUCAGCUCUUGUGAGACUUAUUCAUUACAAUGAGAACAAUAUGGGGGAAACUGCCCCCAUGAUUCAAUUAUCUCCCACCAGAUCCCUCCUACAACACAUGAGAAUUGUGGGUGCUACAAUUCAAGAUGAGAUUUGAGUGGGGACAAAGUCAAACCAUAUCAUUAGAUAGGACACUGGAGAAAGGCAAGAAAGAAAAGACAUCUGAAGAAUGAAGGGAGCCAAAGAAAUGCCAACAUUUUGCUUUUUGAAGAAAAGCUAAAUUAAAGUCAAAAUGGAUUUAUCAAUUUCCUUGGGUUCGUGAAUGUACAGAACUUUAUUAAGGUAAGUCAAAACUUCUCUUUUUAUACUUAACCCAACUCAAAUUGGCUUAUGUAGGGGAAACAAGAAAUCAAAACCCAAAGGAACAUGCCAGUUCAGGAAUAUACAGUUAGCUAAGCUUCUUACUGAACAAAUAAAAUCACAAAGCAUGUAUGCAGAUAGACCACAAGUGACUAUAGUGAGGUAGUUUAUUUCAGCUCUAUUUAUCUGGAAUUAAUGCUACACCAUCUGACAUAUUAAGCAGUUAUGCAUCAGGUAUCAGUAGUUACAUCUUCCAGUGCCUCUUACAGUUGCCCCUGAUGGUAUAUCUACUCGAAAGUAUGUAAGUGCACUCACAUUCUUCAACAUUUCCUCAUUAAAGCCAGAUGGAAUUGGGCUUCUUAUACUUGCUAUUCAUUCAUUUAAUAUUAUUAGAGUGUCUACCAUGUAGUAGGCAUUUUCUGUAAAUGCUGGGGAUAUCUUGAUAACAAAGACAAAACCUUUCCCCACAUAGAUCUUAAAUUUUAGUGCGAAGAGAAAGACAAUGACUAUUUUGAAGUUACGAAGGGGAUUUGCUGAUUUGAAUGCCUACUUAGGAGAUUCAGAAGUGGUUGGAUUUAGGUGCUUAGAUUAAGUCAUCAGGAAUUUCCACCUUCUACCCAUAACAGUGAGCAUCUGAAACUUACAAAACAAUAUUUCCUAUUUUACUUCAUUUUAUUUUAGAGACAGGGUCUUGCCUGUUGCUCAGUCUGGAAUGCAGUGGCACAAUCAUAGCUCACUGCAGCCUCAAUUUCCUGGGCUCAAGGGAUCCUCCCAAAGUGCUGGGAUUACAGGUAUAAGCCACCAUGCCCGGCCAAGAUACUCUAUUUUUAAUUUACAGUUUAUAUCAAGACACUGAGCCAGGGGAAUUUGAAGUCACCCAUCCAGUGGUCUUAGCAUCUUUGCUCACACACUGAAUGACUUGAUGUAAAUGACUGAAUCAGACUUGUUUGCUUAUAGCUGACACCACCGAGCAAACAUAUUCUCUCUUUCUCUGGGACAACACCUGAUAUGGUCUGGCUCUGUGUCCCCACCCACAUCUCAUCUUAAAUUGUAAUCCAAAUUGUAAUCCCCACAUGUUGGGGGAGGGACCUCAUGGGAAGUGAUUGGAUCAUGGUGGUGGUUCCCCCUGUGCUAUUCUCGUGAAAGUGAGUGAGUUCUCAUGAGAUCUGAUGGUUUUAUAAGGGGCUCUUCCCCCUUCAUUUUGCACUUCUGUCUCCUGCUGCCUUGUGAAGAAGGACAUGUUUGCUUCCCCUUCCACCAUGAUUGUAAGUUUCCUGAGGCCUCCCCAGCCAUGCCAAACUGUGAGUUAAUUAAACCUCUUUCCUUUAUAAAUUAUCCAGUCUCGGGUAUUUCUUUAUAGCAGCAUGAAAAUGGACUAAUACAGCACCUAUCUCCCAGUAUUGUAUUUUCACAAUGGAAGUUUUAAUCCAGGGAUGUCUAAUCUUGUGGCUUCCUAGGCCACACUGGAAGAAGAAUUGUCUUGGGCCACACAUAAAAUACACUAACACUAAUGAUAGCUGAGAAGCUAAAGAAAAAUCACAAAUAAAUCUUACAAUGUUUCAAGAAAGUUUACGAAUUUGUAUUGGGCUAUCCUGGGCUGCGUGCAGCCAUGGGCUAUGGGUUGGACAAGCUUGGUUUAAUCCAUAGAUGGAGCAUUCUACACAGCUCCCUUAAAGAUGUUCCAGAAGUGCUGACUCUGUGUCAGGCACCAUGUUCACCACUUAGAUGUUCGUUUAAUCCUUACAAAAGAGCCAUGGAGCAUGGACUGUUACUGUGGCAGAUGUGUUAGCCUCCUGUGGUUGCCAUAACAAAAUACUACAAACUGCGUGGCUUAAAACACCAGGAAUUUAUUCUCACUGUUCUAAAAGACGGAAGUCCGAAAUCCAGGAGUCAACAGGGCUGUGCUCCUUUUUGAGGCUCUAGGGAAGAAUACUUCCUCCCCUCUUCCAGCUUCUGCUGGCCACAGGUGUUCCUCGGCUUGUGGCCACAUCACUCCAAUUGCUGCCUCCAUCCCACAUAGCCUUCUUCCCUAUGUGUGUGUUCUCACAUGGUCUUUGUAUAAGGAUAUCAGUUAUGGGAUUUAGUUCCUACCAUAAUCCAUCAUGAACUCUACUGCACUAAUUACGUCUACAAAGGCCUUAUUGCCAAAUAAGGUCACAUUCUGGGGUUUCAGGUGAAUAUAAAUUUUGGAAGGACACUAUUCAACCCAGUACAACAAGUAAAAUUUAAAAAGGCACCCUUUUACCUUGGCAUGUUAUCUCACUUGAUUUUUAUAACAGCCCUGUAGAUUAAACAGAUAAUAUGUUAUAUUCCCACUUCUAGAUAUCAUCACCCAUUAUUUGAGAGAAUGGAAAUGAAGUUCAGGGCUGUUAACACUCCUGCCACUGAAACAUCCCAGGCCAGUGACCUUUUCAUGUCUGACCUAACAGGUGGUUUCCAACCACAGUUACUUGUGACAUCAUUCCAUCACUCCCCAUACACAUUCCCUGUAGAUCAACUUAUCUGGCCCUACAAUUAUAGUUACAGGGAAUUUUACAUUCUUCAUCUUCCACAGGCAACUGAAUCUUCUGGGACAAAAAGCAUAUGUUCUCCCAUAGUAAUAAAAUUUCCCUUUUUUAGCCUGGCAUGUGACUGCCAAUAAUAACACUUCCCAGACUCUCAGGUGUCCACGUCUAUCCAAAGGGAAAUAUAGUCAGUGAUAACUUCCAGACAUAGAUGAAACAUGCCACACCUUAUAGUCACUUUAUGGGGUUCAUUCUCUCUUCCCAUAGACUGUCAUGCUGUCAUCAUGGCUGGAUCUGAUACGGCCACCGUGGACCUUGAGGUGACCUCGGGAAUGGAGACAGUGCAUGGGAGAGAAUCACAUUGGAAGGGGCCUGGGUUUCUGAAGACCCUGUAAGACAGAUCUCCUUGCAGCCCUGACUGCCCACAUUAGGGCUUUUAUGUUAGGGUGAAGUUACCUUGCAUUGUCAUAUAAGCAAUUGCUAUUUGUGGUGUCUUGCAAAUAAACCUAUUCUGAUCUAGUAUGUUUCCUAAAAAACAAAAGUUUGAACCCAGCUCUUUACGUGUUACAUGUUCUGAAUACAAAAAUAAGACCCAGUUUCUGCCCCCUAGCAGGACCCAAAACCCCUCAGUGAAGGCAUACACCAUAGGAAUAAUCUCACAAGUACUUU